rnacentral:lncRNA from 1 species
UAGGGGUGAGCAUUCGGUCGGUUCGGUUCAAAACCAAACCGAACCGAAUAAACCGAAAACCGAAAUUUUAGUUUUUAUGAAAACCGAACCGAACCGAUUUUGGUCAAAAACCGAAUCGAACCGAACCGGUCUGAUUCGGUUCGGUUCGGUUUGAUCGGUUUCGAUUUUUAAUAUUUUUUUAAUUUUUUACUCUUUAUUUUUAGUAUUUUAAAAUUUAA